rnacentral:rRNA from 1 species
UAUAGUGCUUGCACUAUAGAGACCGGCGCACGGGUGCGUAACGCGUAUGCAAUCUAACCCUAUACAGGGGAAUAGCCCAGGGAAGCUUGGAUUAAUGCCCCAUAGUAUCAUUAAGUAGCAUUACUUGAUGAUUAAAAGAUUUAUCGGUAUAAGAUGAGCAUGCGUCCCAUUAGUUAGUUGGUAAGGUAACGGCUUACCAAGACAGCGAUGGGUACGGGGCCCCUGAGAGGGGGAUCCCCCCACACUGGUACUGAGACACGGACCAGACUCC